rnacentral:rRNA from 1 species
GGGAAACGAUGUGGGAAGGCACAGACAGCCAGGAUGUUGGCUUAGAAGCAGCCAUCAUUUAAAGAAAGCGUAAUAGCUCACUGGUCGAGUCGGCCUGCGCGGAAGAUGUAACGGGGCUAAACCAUGCACCGAAGCUGCGGCAGCGACGUUUAUGCGUUGUUGGGUAGGGGAGCGUUCUGUAAGCCUGCGAAGGUGGCCUGUGAGGCAUGCUGGAGGUAUCAGAAGUGCGAAUGCUGACAUAAGUAACGAUAAAGCGGGUGAAAAGCCCGCUCGCCGGAAGACCAAGGGUUCCUGUCCAACGUUAAUCGGGGCAGGGUGAGUCGACCCCUAAGGCGAGGCCGAAAGGCGUAGUCGAUGGGAAACGGGUUAAUAUUCCCGUACUUGGUGUUACUGCGAAGGGGGGACGGAGAAGGCUAUGUUGGCCGGGCGACGGUUGUCCCGGUUUAAGCGUGUAGGCUGGUUUUCCAGGCAAAUCCGGAAAAUCAAGGCUGAGGCGUGACGACGAGGCACUACGGUGCUGAAGCAACAAAUGCCCUGCUUCCAGGAAAAGCCUCUAAGCAUCAGGUAACAUCAAAUCGUACCCCAAACCGACACAGGUGGUCAGGUAGAGAAUACCAAGGCGCUUGAGAGAACUCGGGUGAAGGAACUAGGCAAAAUGGUGCCGUAACUUCGGGAGAAGGCACGCUGACACGUAGGUGAAGUGAUUUACUCAUGGAGCUGAAGUCAGUCGAAGAUACCAGCUGGCUGCAACUGUUUAUUAAAAACACAGCACUGUGCAAACACGAAAGUGGACGUAUACGGUGUGACGCCUGCCCGGUGCCGGAAGGUUAAUUGAUGGGGUCAGCGCAAGCGAAGCUCCUGAUCGAAGCCCCGGUAAACGGCGGCCGUAACUAUAACGGUCCUAAGGUAGCGAAAUUCCUUGUCGGGUAAGUUCCGACCUGCACGAAUGGCGUAAUGAUGGCCAGGCUGUCUCCACCCGAGACUCAGUGAAAUUGAACUCGCUGUGAAGAUGCAGUGUACCCGCGGCAAGACGGAAAGACCCCGUGAACCUUUACUAUAGCUUGACACUGAACAUUGAGCCUUGAUGUGUAGGAUAGGUGGGAGGCUUUGAAGCGUGGACGCCAGUCUGCGUGGAGCCGACCUUGAAAUACCACCCUUUAAUGUUUGAUGUUCUAACGUGGACCCGUAAUCCGGGUUGCGGACAGUGUCUGGUGGGUAGUUUGACUGGGGCGGUCUCCUCCUAAAGAGUAACGGAGGAGCACGAAGGUUGGCUAAUCCUGGUCGGACAUCAGGAGGUUAGUGCAAUGGCAUAAGCCAGCUUGACUGCGAGCGUGACGGCGCGAGCAGGUGCGAAAGCAGGUCAUAGUGAUCCGGUGGUUCUGAAUGGAAGGGCCAUCGCUCAACGGAUAAAAGGUACUCCGGGGAUAACAGGCUGAUACCGCCCAAGAGUUCAUAUCGACGGCGGUGUUUGGCACCUCGAUGUCGGCUCAUCACAUCCUGGGGCUGAAGUAGGUCCCAAGGGUAUGGCUGUUCGCCAUUUAAAGUGGUACGCGAGCUGGGUUUAGAACGUCGUGAGACAGUUCGGUCCCUAUCUGCCGUGGGCGCUGGAGAACUGAGGGGGGCUGCUCCUAGUACGAGAGGACCGGAGUGGACGCAUCACUGGUGUUCGGGUUGUCAUGCCAAUGGCACUGCCCGGUAGCUAAAUGCGGAAGAGAUAAGUGCUGAAAGCAUCUAAGCACGAAACUUGCCCCGAGAUGAGUUCUCCCUGAGACUUAGAGUCUCCUGAAGGAACGUUGAAGACGACGACGUUGAUAGGCCGGGUGUGUAAGCGCAGCGAUGCGUUGAGCUAACCGGUACUAAUGAACCGUGAGGCUUAACCUUACAACGCCGAAG